rnacentral:rRNA from 1 species
UAGUAAUGGCAGGUCAGCAUACUGCCGUGAAUACGUUCCCGGGCCUUGUACACACCGCCCGUCACACCAUGAGAGUUGGGGAUACCCGAAGCCUGUGAGCUAACAGUAAUGGAGCAGCAGUCGAAGGUAGAAUCAAUGAUUGGGGUGAAGUCGUAACAAGGUAAC